UACGUAGGGUGCAAGCGUUGUCCGGAUUUAUUGGGCGUAAAGAGCUCGUAGGCGGUCUGUCGCGUCGGAUGUGAAAACCCAGGGCUCAACCCUGGGCCUGCAUUCGAUACGGGCAGACUAGAGUGUGGCAGGGGAGACUGGAAUUCCUGGUGUAGCGGUGAAAUGCGCAGAUAUCAGGAGGAACACCGGUGGCGAAGGCGGGUCUCUGGGCCAAUACUGACGCUGAGGAGCGAAAGCGUGGGGGAGCGAACAGG
rnacentral:rRNA from 1 species